UGAAGGCGGUGCGGGAAUUGCCGGUGUCAUUAAAUCAGUUAUGAUUUUGGAAGCCGGCAUCAUCACUCCGAAUACCAACUUUGAGAAAGUCAAUCCAAAGAUCCCAAAGGAUGAGUGGAAUCUCGAGUUUCCUACAGAAUGCAUACCUUGGCCCAAACAAGGUGCCCGUCGCAUCUCUGUGAACUCUUUUGGCUUUGGUGGAACUAAUGCACACUGCAUUUUGGAUGACGCAUACCACUUCUUGCAAGAACAAGGCUUGAAAGGGGUCCAUAGGACUCGUACACGGGUGCCAACUAAGGCAGAAAUCAAUCAGCUUGUCACCUCACUGAACAAUAUUUAUCAGGAACCAGGGGCCCCUGCCAACGGAAAUGUGAAGCUAACUCAUAGAGAGGCCAUUGCUGUCACGGAGAACAAUGUGAAUGGAACAAAUGGUGAAAUCUCGAAUGGAUUCAAUGGCGAGUCUGCGAAUGUCGCCGAUUGUGCAGCCACGAACGGAACCAAUGGGGAGUCUGCGACUGAUGCCAGUGGUGGGGCCAUGGAUGGGCCAGUUGAAAAGUCUACGGAUGCGGUCAAUGGAAAGUCUGAAACUGAUGCCACUACUGAGGCCAUGGAUGGUGCCGUUAAAAAAGCUACGAAUGGGGCCAAUGGAGUCGAGACUGAUGCUAGCGGUGAGGCCAUGGA
rnacentral:sRNA from 1 species